rfam:Rattus norvegicus chromosome 17, whole genome shotgun sequence.
AAAAAGGCUCUUUUCAGAGCCACCACUUCAUCAUUUGAAAGAGCCU